rnacentral:rRNA from 1 species
GAUGAACGCUAGCGGCAGGCUUAAUACAUGCAAGUCGUGGGGCAGCAUGAAGUAGCAAUACUUUGAUGGCGACCGGCAAACGGGUGCGGAACACGUACACAACCUUCCUUUUAGUGGGGAAUAGCCCAGAGAAAUUUGGAUUAAUACCCCGUAACAUAGCGAUGUGGCAUCACAUUGCUAUUAUAGCUUCGGCGCUAGAUGAUGGGUGUGCGUAUGAUUAGAUAGUUGGCGAGGUAACGGCUCACCAAGUCUACGAUCAUUAGCUGACGUGGGAACAUGAUCAGCCACACGGGCACUGAGAAACGGGCCCGACUCCUACGGGAGGCAGCAGUAAGGAAUAUUGGUCAAUGGACGAAAGUCUGAACCAGCCAUGCCGCGUGAAGGAUUAAGGUCCUCUGGAUUGUAAACUUCUUUUAUAUGGGACGAAAAAAGGUCUUUCUAGAUCACUUGACGGUACCAUAUGAAUAAGCACCGGCUAACUCCGUGCCAGCCGCCGCGGUAACAC